rnacentral:rRNA from 1 species
UACGUAGGGGGCAAGCGUUGUCCGGAUUUAUUGGGCGUAAAGAGCUCGUAGGCGGUUCCGUAAGUCGUGAAGUCAAAUCUCUGGGCUCAACCCAGAAUCGCUUCCGAUACUGCGGUGACUGGAGUCCGGUAGGGGAGUGUGGAAUUCCUGGUGUAGCGGUGAAAUGCGCAGAUAUCAGGAGGAACACCAACAGCGAAGGCAGCACUCUGGGCCGGUACUGACGCUGAGGCGCGAAAGCUAGGGGAGCAAACAGG